rnacentral:lncRNA from 1 species
UAUCGAGAUUACCGGAUUUGCUUUUAUUUUAGGUGAUUAUAUAAGUGCCUCUAAAUAUGGAUUAGCAUAUAGCGUAUCAAGAAAUAGACAUGUGCCAGUUCUCAUCUUGAUGGAUUGAUCGAUGAUUUCACCUGAAUCGAGUGCAAAUUGGGCGGUUCUCACGUAAACAUUUAUAAAAGCCCCCUAGAAUCUCUCUUCUCUCAUUUCUCUUAUCUUCUUCCUUCAUGAGCAGCUCCAUCGAGCAGGGGAUGGAAUCAAGCAAAGCGGCUCCAUCAAGCUCAAAUUAAGCGGCAAAAUCGUCGGUCCUGAGCACCAAAUCAAAGCUCCAAGCCGCUGAAUGGAAGCCCC